rnacentral:lncRNA from 14 species
GUCCGUUGGAGCGCGCGUUACCUCAGCGGCCUCUUCCCGGCGCCGUGAGGGACCGGGCAGGCAUUUACAGAGUUGUGGAGGGAGCUGCACAGGCACCAGCCCCUGCCUGCCUGGAGCAGCUUGGCCUGGCCACACUCCAGAGGGAGGAAACAAAGCUGCACACACUCCACACAUCUCGUUCAUCUCUUUGGCUGGGAGCUGCAGCUCAGUUUAGGUGCUGGAAAGUCUGUGGAGUUGCUUGACCCUGCAGAGGGGCUGCUGUGCCACCACGGAGCAAGCCUGAGCAUGGGAUGCUGGUGGUGAGGAGGGCUGAGAAAUGAAGCACUUCUGAGCCAGACUGUUUCCACACUCCCAGGACCAAUUACAAGCACUGGAGUAAUGGUCAUUAGCAAGGCAGUGCACAUCCAGCCAAGAAACCCAGGAAGCCAAGUGAAACAGAUGGGAUCUUGUCCCUCUUCGCAGGGAGCUGCUGAGAUCUACAACAGCAUAUUCCAGGAAUUCCCAUUCAGAGCCAGUGUUUUCCCUUUCCACUGUGCUGCCCAAAGGCAGCCAAAGGAAUCCUCUGCCUGUCUCUGCUGUCAUUUGCCUGUUUUGGCCUCUGGGCCAGUUACAAACCCUCCAACCCUCCAGUUUAAAGUCCAACCCCACUGACUGCUGCUCUUAUCACAAGAAGAGUUGAAAAGGGAAACAUUCUAAAAGGCAAAAAAGAAAAUUUAAG